AUGACCUCAGGGAACUCGCUCCCCACUCUUAUCCAAGAUAAGACCAUUUUUGUUACAAAGAAUUUCCAUGUGUGUGGAGAUUGCCAUACAGUUAUCAAGUACAUGAGCUUAAUCAGGAGAAGGGAUAUAAUCGUCAGAGAUGCCUAUAGGUUUCAUCAUUUCAGGAAUGGACAAUGCAGUUGUGAAGAUUUUUGGUGA
rnacentral:rRNA from 1 species